UAGACAGCCUCCAAUUUGGUUAAUAUACAC
rnacentral:piRNA from 1 species